rnacentral:rRNA from 1 species
GAUGAACGCUGGCGGCGUGCCUAAUACAUGCAAGUCGAGCGAACAGACGAGGAGCUUGCUCCUCUGACGUUAGCGGCGGACGGGUGAGUAACACGUGGAUAACCUACCUAUAAGACUGGGAUAACUUAGGGAAACCGGAGCUAAUACCGGAUAAUAUAUUGAACCGCAUGGUUCAAUAGUGAAAGACGGUUUUGCUGUCACUUAUAGAUUGAUCCGCGCCGCAUUAGCUAGUUGGUAAGGUAACGGCUUACCAAGGAAACGAUGCGUAGCCGACCUGAGAGGGUGAGCGGCCAGACUGGAACUGAGAACCGGUCCAGACGCCUACGGGAAGCAGCAGUAGGGAAUCUUCCGCAAUGGGCGAAAACCUGACGGAGCAACGCCGCGUGAGUGAUGAAGGUCUUCGGAUCGUAAAACUCUGUUAUUAGGGAAGAACAAAUGUGUAAGUAACUAUGCACGUCUUGACGGUACCUAAUCAGAAAGCCACGGCUAACUACGUG